GAUGAACGCUGGCGGCGUGCUUAACACAUGCAAGUCGAACGGAAAGGCCCAAGCUUGCUUGGGUACUCGAGUGGCGAACGGGUGAGUAACACGUGGGUGAUCUGCCCUUCACUUCGGGAUAAGCCUGGGAAACUGGGGCUAAUACCGGAUAGGACCACUUCUUGGAUGUUGUGGUGGAAAGUUUUUUCGGUGUGGGAUGAGCUCGCGGCCUAUCAGCUUGUUGGUGGGGUAAUGGCCUACCAAGGCGUCGACGGGUAGCCGGCCUGAGAGGGUGUACGGCCACAUUGGGACUGAGAUACAGCCCGGACUCCUACGGGAGGCAGCAGUGGGGAAUAUUGCACAAUGGGAGCAAGCGUGAUGCAGCGACGCCGCGUGGGGGAUGACGGCCUUCGGGUUGUAAACUCCUAUCGCUAGGGACGAAGCGUUUUUGUGACGGUACCUGGAGAAGAAGCACCGGCUAACUACGUG
rnacentral:rRNA from 1 species